rnacentral:rRNA from 1 species
GGGCCCGCACAAGCAGCGGAGCGUGUGGUUUAAUUCGAUGCAACACGAAAAACCUUACCAGGGUUUGACAUGCUGGAAGUAGAGACCCGAAAGGGCGCCGACCUGUUAAGUCAGGAGCCAGCACAGGUGCUGCAUGGCUGUCGUCAGCUCGUGCCGUGAGGUGUAUGGUUAAGUCCUGCAACGAGCGCAACCCUCGUUGCUAGUUAAAUUCUCUAGCGAGACUGCCCCGCAAAACGGGGAGGAAGGUGGGGAUGACGUCAAGUCAGCAUGGCCCUUAUGUCCUGGGCUACACACACGCUACAAUGGGUGGUACAAUGGGUUGCGACAUGGCAACAUGUAGCUAAUCCCCAAAGCCAUCCUCAGUCCAGAUUGCAGGCUGAAACUCGCCUGCAUGAAGUCGGAGUUGCUAGUAACCGCAUAUCAGCAUGUUGCGGUGAAUACGUUCUCGGGCCUU